rnacentral:tRNA from 1 species
GCUUUUGGUUCAGUGGUAGAAUGCUCGCCUGCCACGCGAGCGCCCCAGGUUCGAUUCCCGGCCGAUGCA